rnacentral:lncRNA from 1 species
UGGGAAGGGCCUUCACACAGAGGCCCGCCCCCAUCUCGCCCCUCCUCGCGGUGCUCCCGACCGCGCAGAGGUCUCUGGGAAAUGUAGUUUUCUUCUGCCUGGAGCUCUGCGCGGGGCGACGCAGCUGGGCUGCAACCCGCUCCUCCAGGGACGGGUAGUGUGACGUUUGGGGUCAGAACGCACCACUUUCGGGCACCCCCACUUAAGAUUGCUCAACUGCUUUGAGCUCAGGUACUUCGCGUUCAUGAAAGCAAGGUGUAAAGGUGGGGGAAAAGCACUUUCGUCUCAGAAUUACAGCUACUGGUAUGGAAAAGCUGGGGCCCUUCGCUGGUGUGAGUCCUAAGGAUGUCUAAAUGGAACGUGCAUCUGCUACAGGCUCGCACUUUCCUUUAUUGCGCUUCCCAGACUUCCUGCUGUUGUAAGCAACCACUACAGAUUUCUCAGAAGUACUGUGGCAAAUAAAAAUGAUUGAGAAUCAUUAUACAUUUUCUAUUCUACUAGAGAGACAGUUUAAAAUAAAAUAGAAUGCUAAGACCACCAUGCAGUGGAAAAGCUCCAUCUACCAGAAGAUGAGAAGCCAUGUGGAGAACUAAGACUUCCCAGCCAAUAGCCAGCACCAACUGCCAGACACGUAAGUGAGGCCAUCUUGAACCCUCCAACCCUAGAUGUAUUCACGGUUCUCCAGAGAAACAGAACCAAUAAGAUGUGUGUGUGUGUGUGUGUGUGUGUUUAUAAAGAUAUUUAUUUUAAGGACUUGACUCACUUGAUUAUAGAGCUUCCAAGUCCAAAAUCUGCAGGGUGGGUUGGCAGGCUGGAGGCCAGGGAAAAGGUGAUGCUACAGUUCAAGUCUGAGAGCCAUCUACUGGCAAAAUUCCUUCUUGCUCAUGGAAGGUCAGUCUUUUGUUCUAUUCAGGCCUUCAGUUGAUUGGAUAAGGCCUACUCACAUUAUGGAGGGCAAUCUGCGUUAUUCAAAGUCCCCUGAUUUGUUACUCAGAGGUGAGAAAAAUCAUGGUGUACUAAAGUCACCACAAAAACUUCUGUAGAUCAUAUGGAGAAGCAGGAGAGAUGAAGCUGGAGAGCAAAGCAGCAAAUCAGCAAUUAAAAAAGAUGUUUGGAGUUGUUGAGUUUGGAGAUGAAAAGUGACAAGAUGAAUUCUGGAUUUUAGACAAAGCAAUCCAACGUGUGGAUGGAGAGGGAUUUGAGAGGAGAAAUCAGCUGUUGUCAGUAAGAGUAUUUAAAUUAGGAUACUGGUAACGGGGAUGGAGAGACACACGAUUAUACAUGGGAAGUGAGAGCAGAAAGAAUUAGGAUUAUUUCUUGAUUUUUUUUUUUUUUUUUU